UACGUAGGGUCCGAGCGUUGUCCGGAAUUAUUGGGCGUAAAGAGCUCGUAGGCGGUUUGUCGCGUCUGCUGUGAAAUCUAGAGGCUCAACCUCUAGCGUGCAGUGGGUACGGGCAGACUAGAGUGCGGUAGGGGAGAUUGGAAUUCCUGGUGUAGCGGUGGAAUGCGCAGAUAUCAGGAGGAACACCAAUGGCGAAGGCAGAUCUCUGGGCCGUAACUGACGCUGAGGAGCGAAAGCAUGGGGAGCGAACAGG
rnacentral:rRNA from 1 species